GACGAACGCUGGCGGCGUGCCUAACACAUGCAAGUCGAGCGGGAAAGUUCCUUCGGGAGCGAGUACAGCGGCGAACGGGUGAGUAACACGUAGGUAACCUACCUCGGAGACCGGGAUAACCUGUCGAAAGACGGGCUAAUACUGGAUAAGACCACGCGGGCUUCGGUCCGAGGGGUAAAAGAUGGCCUCUGCUUGCAAGCUAUCACUUCGAGUUGGGCCUGCGCGCCAUUAGCUAGUUGGUGGGGUAAAAGCCUACCAAGGCGAAGAUGGCUAGCUGGUCUUAGAGGAUGGCCAGCCACACUGGGACUGAGACACGGCCCAGACUCCUACGGGAGGCAGCAGUGGGGAAUACUGCGCAAUGGGCGAAAGCCUGACGCAGCGACGCCGCGUGGGUGAUGAAGGCCUCCGGGUCGUAAAGCCCUGUCGGGAGGGAAGAAAUCUCGUCGACCUAAUACGUCGGCGACUUGACGGUACCUCCUAAGGAAGCACCGGCUAACUCCGUGCCAGCAGCCGCGGU
rnacentral:rRNA from 1 species